rnacentral:rRNA from 1 species
AGCGAACGCUGGCGGCAGGCUUAACACAUGCAAGUCGAGCGGGCAUCCUUGUGGUGUCAGCGGCAGACGGGUGAGUAACGCGUGGGAACGUGCCCUUCGGUUCGGAAUAACUCAGGGAAACUUGAGCUAAUACCGGAUACGUGCGAGAGCAGAAAGGUUUAUCUGCCGAAGGAUCGGCGCGCGUCUGAUUAGCUAGUUGGUGAGGUUACGGCUCACCAAGGCGACGAUCAGUAGCUGGUCUGAGAGGAUGUUCAGCCACACUGGGACUGAGACACGGCCCAGACUCCUACGGGAGGCAGCAGUGGGGAAUAUUGGACGAUGGGGGCAACCCUGAUCCAGCCAUGCCGCGGAAGUGAUGACGGCCGUAGGGUUGUAAAGCUCUUUUCUCCGGGGCGAUAAUGACGGUACCGGAGGAAUAAGCCCCGGCUAACUACGUG